rnacentral:rRNA from 1 species
GAUGAACGCUGGCGGCGUGGAUUAGGCAUGCAAGUCGAGCGCGAAGCCCCCGCAAGGGGGCUGAAAGCGGCGAAAGGGCGAGUAACGCGUGGAUUACCUACCCCCUGGUUCGGGAUAGCUGCGGGAAACUGCAGGUAAUACCGAAUAAAGUCUCCGGACCAAAGGUGUGAUUCCUCCGGGGGAUGGGUCCGCGUCCUAUUAGCUAGUUGGUGGGGUAAUGGCCUACCAAGGCAAUGAUGGGUACAGGGUGUGGGAGCACGACCCAGCUCACUGGGAAUGAGGAACUGCCCAGGCAUCGACGGGUGGCUGCAGUCGAGGAUCUUCGGCAAUGGGCGCAAGCCGGACCGAGCGACGCCGCGUGCGGGAUGAAGGCCUUCGGGUUGUAAACCGCUGUCAGAGGGGAUGAAAUACUAGAGGGUUCUCUCUCUAGCUUGACAGAUCCUCAGAGGAAGUACGGGCUAAGUUCGUGCCAGCAGCCGCCGUAAUAC